rnacentral:rRNA from 1 species
UACGGAGGGUGCAAGCGUUAUCCGGAUUCACUGGGUUUAAAGGGUGCGUAGGCGGGCAGGUAAGUCAGUGGUGAUAUCUCCGGGCUUAACCCGGAACUGCCGUUGAUACUAUCUGUCUUGAAUAUCGUGGAGGUAAGCGGAAUAUGUCAUGUAGCGGUGAAAUGCUUAGAUAUGACAUAGAACACCCAUUGCGAAGGCAGCUUACUACACGAUCAUUGACGCUGAGGCACGAAAGCGUGGGGAGCAAACAGG